UGGAAAGUCAGAUGUGAAAUCCUACAGCUUAACUGUAGAACUGCAUUUGAAACUUCUAAUCUAGAGUAUGGGAGGGGGAGAUGGAAUUAGUGGUGUAGGGGUAAAAUCCGUAGAUAUCACUAGGAAUACCGAAAGCGAAGGCGAUCUCCUGGAACAUAACUGACGCUAAGGCGUGAAAGCGUGGGGAGCAAACAGGAUUAGAUACCCUGGUAGUCCACGCCCUAAACGAUGAACACUAGUCGUCGGGAUGCUAGUCAUCUCGGUGAUGCACUUAACAGAUUAAGUGUUCCGCCUGGGGAGUACGGUCGCAAGAUUAAAACUCAAAGGAAUAGACGGGGACCCGCACAAGUGGUGGAGCAUGUGGUUUAAUUCGAAGAUACGCGAAGAACCUUACCUAGCCUUGACAUUGAUUGAACACACUAGAGAUAGAGUGGUGCCCUUCGGGGAACAUGAAAACAGGUGCUGCACGGCUGUCGUCAGCUCGUGUCGUGAGAUGUUGGGUUAAGUCCCGCAACGAGCGCAACCCUCGUCCUUAGUUGCUAGCAGUUCGGCUGAGCACUCUAAGGAGACUGCCUUCGUAAGGAGGAGGAAGGUGAGGACGACGUCAAGUCAUCAUGGCCCUUAUGGCUAGGGCUACACACGUGCUACAAUGGGGCGUACAGAGUGUUGCGAUACCGCGAGGUGGAGCUAAUCACUUAAAGCGUCUCUCAGUUCGGAUUGGAGUCUGCAACUCGACUCCAUGAAGCUGGAAUCACUAGUAAUCGUAGAUCAGCAAUGCUACGGUGAAUACGU
rnacentral:rRNA from 1 species